GGGGGGACGGGGGAAUCCAGGUGGAGAUUGUGAAGAAGUGAAACCUCGGGCGCAAUGUGGUUAUUUGGCCAAUUGUCUGGCAUCCACACACAUUCGUGAAUGAACGCAGUGAAUGAUUCUAGGGAACUGGGAAGAAAGUCGACCCAUCCUUCAGGCAACAGGUAUCACUGCCGAAAUCUGAAUCUUCGCUGGCCAAUGCUCCCAGGACUCAAGGCUGAAGCUGCGAUUGGAGGCUAACUUUGGGAUGAAGAGAAUAGCACCCAGAAUAAGCAUCUCUGCCACAAUAGUGCGGGACAGUGCCAGGAUUUGAACCAGGGCCAUGAUGGAAGGGGCUGUGACAAGUUUCCAAGGUGCUCCCAGGAAAGGACAUAACACCUAGAUGCAUAAGGAGUGC